rnacentral:tmRNA from 1 species
GGUCUGUGCAUCCACCGCCGAGCGGCCUAUAUAGGGGGUGCCGGCUUGCCGGCUAUGGAAAUAAAUCGCCGUCGAAAUAAACCAUUCGGACCCGGGGGCGGUACCCGGCGCCUCCACCAAAGUCCGCCUUGGAGACAUCUCGGAUGUCGGGCUUCGGCGGGGGCGAAAUAGGAUCGACGAGGGCGUAAAGGGCGAGCUUUUUCCCGGUAUUGUUCCGCCGUUAUCGGGCUACUGCAAUAGUUGCCAACGACAACUUUGCUCCGGUUGCUCAGGCUGCGUAACGCAGUUUG